AGUGAACGCUGGCGGUAGGCCUAACACAUGCAAGUCGAACGGCAGCACAGUAAGAGCUUGCUCUUACGGGUGGCGAGUGGCGGACGGGUGAGGAAUACAUCGGAAUCUACUUUUUCGUGGGGGAUAACGUAGGGAAACUUACGCUAAUACCGCAUACGACCUACGGCUGAAAGCAGGGGAUCUUCGCACCUUGCGCGAUUGAUUGAGCCGAUGUCGGAUUAGCUAGUUGGCGGGGUAAAGGCCCACCAAGGCGACGAUCCGUAGCUGGUCUGAGAGGAUGAUCAGCCACACUGGAACUGAGACACGGUCCAGACUCCUACGGGAGGCAGCAGUAGGGAAUAUUGGACAAUGGGCGCAAGCCUGAUCCAGCCAUACCGCGUGGGUGAGGAAGGCCUUCGGGUUGUAAAGCCCUUUUGUUGGGAAAGAAAAGCAGCAGGUUAAUACCCCGCUGUUCUGACGGUACCCAAAGAAUAAGCACCGGCUAACUUCGUG
rnacentral:rRNA from 1 species